rnacentral:rRNA from 1 species
CUACGGGAGGCUCCAGUGAGGAAUAUUGCACAAUGGGGGGAACCCUGAUGCAGCAACGCCGCGUGGAGGAUGACGCAUUUCGGUGUGUAAACUCCUUUUAUAUGUCAAGAAAAUGACGGUAGCAUAUGAAUAAGCACCGGCUAACUCCGUGCCAGCAGCCGCGGUAAUACGGAGGGUGCAAGCGUUACUCGGAAUCACUGGGCGUAAAGGACGCGUAGGCGGGUUGGAAAGUCAGGUGUGAAAUCCUACAGCGUAACUGUAGAACUGCACUUGAAACUUCUAAUCUAGAGUAUGGGAGGGGAGAGGGAAUUAGUGGUGUAGGGGUAAAAUCCGUAGAUAUCACUAGGAAUACCUAAAGCGAAGGCGAUCUCCUGGAACAUUACUGACGCUAAGGCGUGAAAGCGUGGGGAGCAAACAGGAUUAGAUACCCGGGUAGUC